ACAGUCACACAUUAGAUACCCGCGUAGUCCCAGCCCUAAACGAUGCGCGUUAGGUGUAUCGGUGACCACGAGUCACCGAGGUGCCGAAGGGAACCGUGAAACGUGCCGCCUGGGAAGUACGGUCGCAAGGCUAGAAACUUAAAGGAAUUGGCGGGGAGCACCACAACGGGUGGAGCCUGCGGUUUAAUUGGACUCAACGCCGGGAAGCUCACCGGAUAAGACAGCGGAAUGAUUGCCGGGCUGAAGACCCUGCAUGACCAGCUG
rnacentral:rRNA from 1 species